CAGUCGCCGCGGGAAUACGUAGGUGGCAAGCGUUGUCCGGAAUUAUUGGGCGUAAAGGGCUCGCAGGCGGUUUCUUAAGUCUGAUGCGAAAGCCCCCGGCUCAACCGGGGAUGGUCAUUGGAAACUGGGAAACUUGAGUGCAGAAGAGGAGAGUGGAAUCCCACGUGUAGCGGUGAAAUGCGUAGAGAUGUGGAGGAACACCAGUGGCGAAGGCGACCCUCUGGUCUGUAACUGACGCUGAGGAGCGAAAGCGUGGGGAGCGGACAGGAUUAGAUACCCCAGUAGUCCCUGUCUCUUAUAC
rnacentral:rRNA from 1 species